GGGUUACUCCUUGGAGUUUUACGCGCAGAUUGAUAAAGAUUCGCACCUCUAUCAAACCGGGUAACCCCACCCUUUAGCAAGGCAUUACUGUACGAUUAAGUCGGAACUACUACACAUGAUCACAUCCCCACGGUGCGCCUUCACUAACGACGUUUCUUACCAAAUCAAUCUUGUAU
rnacentral:sRNA from 1 species